UUUUAAAAAUUUUAUCUAUUUUUUUUGUUAAAAACUGGUGCAGUUGAAGAAAUAACUAGAUGAUCUACGUGAAUCUUAUAUUGACAUACAAUGACUAGUUUUUAACAACAAAAAUGAAUGGAAUUUUUAACA
rfam:Gossypium raimondii Chr11_contig_37, whole genome shotgun sequence.